CUUCUUUAUACUUUUUUUCUAAAAUAAUAUUAUUUAGAUAAAUUAAAACUUUACAUGAAACUAAUACUUGUUAUACGAAAAACCCGUGAUGUUAAACUUAUAUAAUUAUUAUAUAUAUUUAUUGUGUGUAAAAUGUUUCUGAGAAGGAAAAAUAACUUUUUUCUAGAUAACCUGCUAUCUAGUGAUUGUAGUACUGACGUGUGAACAUGUGAUUGACAAGAUGGUGUAAAGUGAGAAAUGCGUCUUUCUACUGUGAAUUUUUGUCUUUAUGUUAAAUUAAGUUCGUUAACUUAGAAAAGCUACAGCAUAAAAAUGUGUCAAAGAAAUAAGAAUUUGUGUUUUAUUAUGUUAAAAUAACAUUUUGGAGAAGUCGUUCAGAAAAGUGGAUCACAUUUAAUGAAGAAAGGUUCAAUGCUAUUAUUAUUUCUUAUUAUUGAUUCAAAUCUUCCAAAAGAUCUCACCACAGAUGGGAAGACCCAGCAUGUAGCCUGAUGCUGUAUGUAAGUUAAAAUUUAACCAAGCUUUAAUAAGUUGGGUUUAUGUAAAGUAACCAUAUAGAAAGUGUGUAUGUAGCUACAAAUAAAGCUACUUGAUAUUAACAAUACUUAUUAUAGGUGUUGUAUUCUUCAUUGUAAUAUUAACUAAUUUUCUGAGAUGACAAUGUCACUUUUAGAAUUUCCAGUUCUAUGGGCCAG